rnacentral:rRNA from 1 species
UACGUAGGGAGCAAGCGUUGUCCGGAAUCAUUGGGCGUAAAGCGCGCGUAGGUGGCCCCGUAAGUCCGCUGUGAAAGCCAAAGGCUCAACCUUUGAAAGCCGGUGGAUACUGUGGGACUAGAGUACGGAAGAGGCGAGUGGAAUUCCUGGUGUAGCGGUGGAAUGCGCAGAUAUCAGGAGGAACACCAAUAGCGAAGGCAGCUCGCUGGGACGGUACUGACGCUGAGACGCGAAAGCGUGGGGAGCAAACAGG